rnacentral:rRNA from 1 species
AUUGAACGCUGGCGGCAGGCCUAACACAUGCAAGUCGAACGGUAACAUUUCUAGCUUGCUAGAAGAUGACGAGUGGCGGACGGGUGAGUAAUGCUUGGGAACUUGCCUUUAGGAGGGGGAUAACAGUUGGAAACGACUGCUAAUACCGCAUAAUGUCUACGGACCAAAGGGGGCUUCGGCUCUCACCUAAAGAGAGGCCCAAGUGAGAUUAGCUAGUUGGUAAGGUAAAAGCUCACCAAGGCGACGAUCUCUAGCUGUUCUGAGAGGAAGAUCAGCCACACUGGGACUGAGACACGGCCCAGACUCCUACGGGAGGCAGCAGUGGGGAAUAUUGCACAAUGGGGGAAACCCUGAUGCAGCCAUGCCGCGUGUGUGAAGAAGGCCUUCGGGUUGUAAAGCACUUUCAGUUGUGAGGAAAGGUUGGUAGUUAAUACCUGCCAGCUGUGACGUUAACAACAGAAGAAGCACCGGCUAACUCCGUGCCAGCAGCCGCGGUAAUACGGAGGGUGCGAGCGUUAAUCGGAAUUACUGGGCGUAAAGCGCACGCAGGCGGUUUGUUAAGCUAGAUGUGAAAGCCCCGGGCUCAACCUGGGAUGGUCAUUUAGAACUGGCAGACUAGAGUCUUGGAGAGGGGAGUGGAAUUCCAGGUGUAGCGGUGAAAUGCGUAGAUAUCUGGAGGAACAUCAGUGGCGAAGGCGGCUCCCUGGCCAAAGACUGACGCUCAUGUGCGAAAGUGUGGGUAGCGAACAGGAUUAGAUACCCUGGUAGUCCACACCGUAAACGCUGUCUACUAGCUGUUUGUGAAUUUAAUUCGUGAGUAGCGAAGCUAACGCGAUAAGUAGACCGC